AAGAGCAUAGCUGUUGGGACCCGAAAGAUGGUGAACUAUGCGUGUAUAGGGUGAAGCCAGAGGAAACUCUGGUGGAGGCUCGCAGCGGUUCUGACGUGCAAAUCGAUCGUCAAAUACGCGUAUAGGGGCGAAAGACUAAUCGAACCAUUGGGAGUGUCAGCAAUUGUACAUUAGCUCCCCGCUGUGGUUUAGUACCACUGUCCACUCAGGAAAAGUUGCUUAAAAGUUGUCGAAAGGUGUUAGUACUUGAGAUGUCUUCUGAUGCGGCGAACUUGGUUGUACGACAGGUACAGUCCAGCUAAAAGGGGGUUUUUCAUGUUUUAAUCUCCUGUAGGCCUGGGCGGUGGUACUAACCCGCGGGUUAGUUCAAAUAGCUACUGUCACACUUUUUUUUCGCGACCAGGUGGUUCAUUUGUAGGGAUCUAGUCACCCUACCUAACCUAUAUACAAUUAUAGGUUACACCGUUAGUUUGACGGGAACUCUAUCCAAAGAGAUCCGCAGCAGUAUUCUAUAAUAAUAGAGACUGUUCACAGACUAUAGAAUGGUGGUUAGAUACAUUAUAUAUCUAAUAAAUAUAUAGCCGGAAGAAAUUAUUUGGGAAAGACCAAGUAACUACUUUUCACAGAGAGUUUACUUCACUGAGGGCGAUAUAGCCAAACGUUAUACCAAAGAAUACUGUUAUUCAAAGGUGUGCAUACCAAUGAGUUGCCGUUAUUUGGAGGUGGAGGUGUAACUAUAUCUCCAUCGGAAAUGUCUACGAACUUUGAACAGGUGUUAGGAGGUAAUAACCUAUAAUUUCUAGAUCGCUGGUAGCUGGUUCCUGCCNNNNNNNNNNNNNNNNNNNNNNNNNNNNNNNNNNNNNNNNNNNNNNNNNNNNNNNNNNNNNNNNNCCUUGGGGUUGAAACAACCUUAACCUAUUCUCAAACUUUAAAUAUGUAAGAAGCCCUUGUUACUUCGUUGAACGUGGGCAUUUGAAUGUAUCGUUACUAGUGGGCCAUUUUUGGUAAGCAGAACUGGCGAUGCGGGAUGAACCGAACGUGAGGUUAAGGUGCCGGAAUACACGCUCAUCANAUACCACCCCGUCUUGUGGUAUCGACGCCUGGGAUCAUCAAUGAUCUUAGGUAAAGCCCGAAGCUGCGUCAACUAUGACGCGAUACGGGUGAAAUCCUUGUUCUGAGGGGAUGGUUAUAACAUAGCCCGCCCUCAACCGUGCGCGUCACGGUCCACAGAUCAAGCGAGGAUUGGUGGUCACCCGGCCGGGGGGACCAUUCGAGAUAUGACCGGCCCCGGGCCGCCGAGCCCCGAGGAUCAGUGCAAAAGGUGUUAGUUCAUCUAGACAGCCGGACGGUGGCCAUGGAAGUCGGAAUCCGCUUAGGAGUGUGUAACAACUCACCGGCCGAAUGAACUAGCCCUGAAAAUGGAUGGCGCUCAAGCGUGUUACCUAUACCUCGCCGUUAAAGCUUUAAGGAUGCUUUAACGAGUAGGCAGGCGUGGAGGUUUGUGACGAAGCCUUGGGGGUGACCUCGGGUCGAACAACCUCUAGUG
rnacentral:rRNA from 1 species